ACAAACGAACAGCGAAGUAGACAGAAUGGCACGCGCUGAGCUCGCGAGUGGAGAGAAUUCAAUAAAAAUACACGACCAGCAAUUAUAUAAUAUCAUUAAUAAUUAUAUUAUUUUUUUAUUUAACUUUAUAGUAUAAUAGUAAUUUCAAUGGAUAUUCUGGACGAGUAGAGCCAUGUUUUCAACAUAAUAUUGGCCAAACUUACAGGUUUAUAUCAAAUAUUGGAUCCUGAAACCAGCAAGUCCGUGGUCAGAACAUACCUCAAAUGAUAACAGAUAUGAAAAAAAAAACGAAGACGACUUAAUUUAUGUUCAAUUAAAAUCAAUUAUAAUAGAUCAUCAAGCAGUUAUGAACAUGCGUCACAUGAUAAGCGUGUCAGGAGAAUAAUUCGUCACUGAAGUACAAUGAGAUGAAAUCUUUUCAAUGUAAUCUAUGCUUAAUGGCACAAUGAUGGACCAAUAGCAUCUACACACUGCUACCGAUCAACAUAACCACCAAAACAGAAAAAAAAAAACUAAAAUAGAGUGCAAUGAAUACCACGACCGUGCAUGUGGUAGACACACUGACCACGACAUUUAAUGGUUUUAGGAUCCAAAAUUUGAUAUAAUCCUGUAAGUUUGGCCAAUAGUAUGUUGGAAGCAUGGUUCUGCUCAUCCCGAAUAUCCGUCAAAAAUGUACUAUUUUACUGUAUUGUGUAAUAAAAAUAAAUAUAAUGAUUAUGUAGGUAUAUUAUUAUCUUUAAUCACGAGUUUGCCAAGUGUAAUACUGACCACUUCGCUGCGAUCCACUGACAAUUCAUUUCUGUAAAAAUUAUGGAAUUUCGAAACUUAAAUGGCAUGUAAUAUAUAUGAUUUUCAGAUUAAAUUGUGUCAUGUUUAUUAUAUUUUGUCGGUGCAAAGAGUUUACGAUCUACCUUUUUUAUUGCCUGUAAUUCCGGUUCAAAAAAAAGUAUUUACGAGCUAAUGGUUACAGGAUCCGGUGCAGGUGCGUACACA